UAAAACCAGCUCUCCGAGUGGUAGGGAUGAUUAUUGGGCUUAAAGCGUUCGUAGCCGGCCCUGCAAGUCUCCCGUCAAAUCCAGCGAUUCAAUCGUUGGGUCGCGGGAGAUACUGUUGGGCUUGGAGGCGGAAGAAGCCGACGGUAUUCCCGGGGUAGGAGUGAAAUCCUGUAAUCCCGGGAGGACCACCGGUGGCGAAGGCGGUCGGCUAGGACGCGCUCGACGGUGAGGAACGAAAGCUGGGGAGCGAACCGGAUUAGAUACCCGGGUAGUCCCAGCCGUAAACGAUGCGGGCUAGGUGUUGGGGCGGCCACGAGCCGCUUCAGUGCCGCAUGAAAACAAUUAAGCCCGCCGCCUGGGGAGUACGGCCGCAAGGCUG
rnacentral:rRNA from 1 species